rnacentral:rRNA from 1 species
UACAGAGGGUGCAAGCGUUAAUCGGAAUUACUGGGCGUAAAGCGUGCACAGUCGGUUAUUUAAGUCGGAUGUGAAAUCCCCGGGCUCAACCUGGGAAUUGCAUUCGAUACUGGAUGGCUAGAGUUCGGCAGAGGGAAGUGGAAUUUCAGGUGUAGCGGUGAAAUGCGUAGAUAUCUGAAGGAACAUCAGUGGCGAAAGCGACUUCCUGAACCAGAACUGACGAUCAGGCACGAAAGCGUGGGGAGCAAACAGG